rnacentral:lncRNA from 1 species
AUGUCCUGGGCCUUUGUAUCCAUCCACAAUUAAUUCUGGAAACCAGGUCAUGGGAUUCGCAGUAACCUUACUUCAUCGAACCCCA